rnacentral:rRNA from 1 species
UACGUAGGGUGCGAGCGUUAAUCGGAAUUACUGGGCGUAAAGCGUGCGCAGGCGGCUCGUUAAGUCAGAUGUGAAAGCCCCGGGCUCAACCUGGGAACUGCAUUUGAAACUGGCGGGCUUGAGUGUGGCAGAGGGGGGUGGAAUUCCGCGUGUAGCAGUGAAAUGCGUAGAGAUGCGGAGGAACACCGAUGGCGAAGGCAGCCCCCUGGGCCAACACUGACGCUCAGGCACGAAAGCGUGGGGAGCAAACAGG